GGUAAGGCAGCGGGUUUUGAUCCCGCCAUUCCCAGGUUCAAAUCCUGGUACUCCAGCCA
rnacentral:tRNA from 1 species